rnacentral:pre_miRNA from 1 species
AAUAAGUGCAGCCGUGGAUAUCCGUGCCCAACGUUUGACUGUUCGUCUUAUUUGAAAAAAUUAUGAAAAAUUUGAAAAUAUUUAGUCACACAUAAAGUACUAUUCAUGUUUUAUCAUCUAAUAGCAAUAAAAAUACUAAUCAUAAAAAAAUUUCAAAUAAGACGAACGGUCAAACGUUGAACGUGAAUAGUACAAAACUGCACUUAUU